UUAGCCUUUCCUUCCUGGCUUGAGAGGUUUGGAUUCACCUCACAGAGGACAAGUCCUGCUCUCACAAUAUGUUCUCCAGGAGAUGGAAACCGUGAGUCUGGACCCUGUCUCCCUGGCUGCAGCCCCAGGCCCACAAAGGAGUUGGAGCAGCACUAUUCACAAUGGCCCAAGACAUAGGAGCAACCUAAAUGUCCAUCAACCGAUGAAUGGAUAAAGAAGAUGUACAUAUAUACAAUGGACGACUACUCAGCCAUAAAAAAGGAUGAAAUAAUGCCAUUUGCAGCAACAUGGAUGAAACUAGAGAUUACCCUACUAAGUGAAGAGAAGAAUCUUCAAACUGGAAAAGACAGGACAGACAUCAUGAAGAUGGGGAAUUAAAGCCCAAGAUGAAUGAAGAAACUGUGAAAACUUGCAGUUGUGCUUGCAGACGAGUCAACACAGUUUGUGAGAAAUCAGAGGACUGGAGAGAGGAGCCAGAAGACAGAAGACAAGGACAUAAUACAGAGUGAAGUAAGUCAGAAAGAGAAAAACAAAUACCGUAUGCUAACACACAUAUAUGGAAUCUUAAAAAAAAAAAAAAAAAAAAAAGGUCAUGAAGAACCUAGGGGCGGGACAGGAAUAGAGACGCAGACGUAGAGAAUGGACUUGAAGACACAGGGAGCGGGAAGGGUAAGCUGGGACGAAGUGAGAGAGUGGCAUGGACACAUACACACUACCAAAUGUAAAAUAGAUAGCUAGUGGGAAGCAGCCGCAUAGCACAGGGAGAUCAGCUCGGUGCUU